CCCGCCCACGUCAUGGCGCCCGAGGAGAACGCUGGGACCUAACUCUUGCUGCAGAGUUUGCAGCGCCGCUUUCUGGCGGCGCGCGCGCUGCGCUCCUUCCCCUGGCAGAGCUUAGAAGCAAAAUUAACAGACUCAUCAGAUUCUGAGCUUCUGCGGGAUAUUUUGCAGAAGACUGUGAAGCAUCCUGUGUGUGUGACGCACCCGCCGUCAGUCAAGUAUGCCCGGUGCUUUCUCUCAGAACUCAUCAAAAAGCCCUCAGGAGGCUCAGUCACACUCUCCUAGAGCACAGCCAUCAUCUCCCAGGCAUCACAGGCCUGGUCACAUGGGAUGCUACCCUCUACCUUGCAGAAUGGGCCAUCGAGAACCCGGCAGCCUUCACUCAUAGGACUGUCCUAGAGCUUGGCAGUGGUGCUGGCCUCACAGCCCUGGCCAUCUGCAAGAUGUGCCGCCCCCGGGCAUACAUCUUCAGCGACUGUCACAGCCGGGUCCUCAAACAGCUCCGAGGGAAUGUCCUUCUCAAUGGCCUCUCAUUAGAGGCAGACAUCACUGCCAACUUAGCCCCAGAGUGACAGUGGCCCAGCUGGACUGGGACAUCGCGAUGGUCCAUCAGCUCUCUGCCAUCCAGCCAGAUGUUGUCAUUGCAGCAGAGCCAUGCUUGUGUCUUUCAGAGACCACAGGAGGAAAACAACCACUUCUGGGAUGAGGACAGGGCCCUUGAGAGAAGGUGGUGUUUGGCUGGGCCGCCAAAAACCCCUCGCCCCUGCCAGCACACUCAGUCUCCUCUCUGGUCGAACAGAGCUGUGCCUGUUGUCCUGGGUCCCAGCCCUGAAAACCACAGGUCCAGCGGUGGCCAGGGACACAGGCCCACCCCUGCAAGCCAGCAGACAAAUCGGCAGACGCCUGAAACACGAAGUUCAUGGCAGGGUCAGGCUUUGUGUCAUUCACAGCCCUCUAGAUAGGCUGAGAACCAGAGCUCGUUUUUUAAGGAACACCAACGUGCUGUAUUGCCCAGAAGCCAUCGUGUUGCUGGUCGGGGUCCUGCUGAGGCUGGCUGCCUGCCGGGAGCACCAGCGGGCUCCUGAGGUCUAUGUGGCCUUUACUGUCCGCAACCCAGAGACAUGCCAGCUGUUCACCACCGAGCUAGGCCAGGCCAGGAUCAGAUGGGAAGUGGAACCUCGUCAUGACCAGAAACUGUUUCCCUAUGAAGAGCACUUGGAGAUGGCAAUGCUGAACCUCACACUGUAGGACUCACACACGACUCCAAUGGGAUUGUGAGAAUCAAGUCACUCUCAAGGGAAGAGGUUUCAUAUGGGAAAGCUGAUAAAACUUUCACUGGACUGGAAUGUUUGGAGAAUGUUAAUUUCCAAAUCAGGAACUACAAACUGCCCUCUAAUAAGACAUCGGCUAUCUAAGCGUGUGGGUGCUCCCUUUCUGCCAGCAGUUCUGGUUCUUAAGGAAAUCGCCAUCACUCAGACAUGAAAACUCUGGCUCCAAAAAUAGCAUUUUCUUUGUGCAAAUAAAAACGUGUGUAUCAAGUAUGUGGACACACUCGGUUCCUCACAAAGCCAAGCCUGCUGCAGCUGCCACAUCCCUGGACACACUUGGUUCCUCACAAAGCCAAGACUGCUGCAGCUGCCACAUCCGCGGACACACUCAGUUCUUCACAAAGCCAAGCCCGCUGCAGCUGCCACAUCCCUGGGCUUACGAUGCAGCAGGUGCUUUUUUCAAGACAGGAAUCAAAAUGUUAGGAACACGGCAGAAAGGUGACACCUGGAGACCAAACGCAGGAUAAGGAGUACUGCAGAGGUCACAGGGAAGUCACAGAACAGUAAUACGCUAGCAGGGGCAUGGGGCAUGAAGAACAGAAGAAGAGAGGAAGUGUUUCCGAGCCUCCGGAAAAGAAAUCAGAGCCAAGCACAGCUUCCCGGGUCACAGAACCAAUUCAUUCACCAGGCGGCACCACUGCCGUCAUUUCAGCUUCUGGCCACUGGGAGGCGCUGCUCAAAAGGGUUUGCCCUGAGACUCCGAGAAGAAGCUGCGGGAAGGACAGCAGGGGUCCCGGGGUUUUAGCCUCUGGCCCAGGAGUUGUAUGUCCAUAACCAAAGGGAGCACAGUCUGCACCCAGCUCUCAUCCCAUCGGAGCUGCUGCGACUCCCGCAGGUUCUUCCAAAACUGGUUUAGCUUGCCUGCAGGAUCAGGAAAGUUUGAGAAAAGCAUCUGCAAAAAAAUAAAGAGCAGAGCUUACCUCAUUGCCUGUCCCCACCCCAUCCCAGGUCACCACCUGGCUGACCCCAGGUCCCCGACCCAACAACAACCCCUCCCAAGUUCCUAACUCUCUCACUUGGACUCGAGACUCUUCACGCCCCAGCAGCGCUCCGCCUCCAACUUGACAUCAUGCUUUCUGGAAACUUCCCCGUAUGUCCCACUUUCCCACACUUGGUGCCCUGGAGCACCUCCCGGCCUCUAACGUGCUGUAUGUUCCCCUGCGAGCACCCUCCUCUUGGCCUCUGGCCAAGUCCCACCCAUCUGUGGGUAACAAGGGGGUGUCGGUGUUCUUUUCAGCCUUGCUAAACUCUCUGAAUCAAGGAUCACAAACUACAGCCUGCAGGCCAAAUCCAGCCCACAGCCUGUGUUUGUAAAUAAAGUUUUAUUGGAACAAA
ensembl:lncRNA FAM86JP family with sequence similarity 86 member J, pseudogene